ACGGGGCAGAAGGACUAUGUUGUGAGCCUGCGAAAGAAGUUUGUGUGGGGACUGUGGGCAGUGAACGCGUUGGGAACAAUAUGGAAAACUGGGAGCUGCCUUGGAAUCUACAGGGCCGGGCUGAAGAAAAGAAGAAUGGUAUUCACGCAGUUCCCAUUUUACAGAUGAAAACAAGAGGACUUUUUCUGUGAAGUCAAGAAAGUGGUUACAAUGGUACUUUCAGCCUGUCCGAAUUAUGUAUUGCCCCUCCCCUUUUUAUUAAUAACAUUGAAGUGUGAUGGGAAAACCACUGAAGCCGUCAGUUGAAACCUGCUGGGACUUUUUAGCCAUUCUCUUCAACAUAAAGAAUGGGUGUUUUUGGAGGGGGUGAGAGGAAUGGGGAAAUGUUGUCAAAGAGUACAGUGUUUUAGUUGAGACAGGAAGAAUAUAUUUUGUUGAGAUCUACAGCACAGCAUGGUGACUGUAGUUAACAAUGAAGUAUUGUGUAUUUCAAAAUUGCUAAGACAAUAAAUUUCAAAUGUUCUCACCACAAAAAA
rnacentral:lncRNA from 1 species